GCCUAAAGCGUCCGUAGCCUGCUUUGUCAGUUUUCGGUUAAAUCCAUACGCUCAGCGUAUGGGCUGCCGGAAAUACUGCAAAGCUAGGGAGUGGGAGAGGUAGACGGUACUCGGGAGGAAGGGGUAAAAUCCUUUGAUCUCUCGAUGACCACCUGUGGCGAAGGCGGUCUACCAGAACACGUCCGACGGUGAGGGAUGAAAGCUGGGGGAGCAAACCGGAUUAGAUACCCGGGUAGUCCCAGCUGUAAACUAUGCAAACUCAGUGAUGCAUUGGCUUGAUGCCAAUGCAGUGUUGCAGGGAAGCCGUUAAGUUUGCCGCCUGGGAAGUACGUACGCAAGUAUGAAACUUAAAGGAAUUGGCGGGGGAGCACCACAAGGGGUGAAGCCUGCGGUUCAAUUGGAGUCAACGCCAGAAAUCUUACCCGGAGAGACAGCAGAAUGAAGGUCAAGCUGAAGACUUUACCAGACAAGCUGAGAGGUGGUGCAUGGCCGUCGCCAGCUCGUGCCGUGAGAUGUCCUGUUAAGUCAGGUAACGAGCGAGACCCUUGCCUCUAGUUGCCACCAUUGCUCUCUGGAGCAGUGGGGCGAAUUAGCGGGACCGCCGCAGUUAAUGCGGAGGAAGGAAAGGGCUACGGCAGGUCAGUAUGCCCCGAA
rnacentral:rRNA from 1 species